rnacentral:rRNA from 1 species
CCUACGGGUGGCAGCAGUGGGGAAUAUUGGACAAUGGGGGCAACCCUGAUCCAGCCAUGCCGCGUGUGUGAAGAAGGCCCUCGGGUUGUAAAGCACUUUCAGUGAGGAAGAACGCCUGGUGGUUAAUACCCAUCAGUAAAGACAUCACUCACAGAAGAAGCACCGGCUAACUCCGUGCCAGCAGCCGCGGUAAUACGGAGGGUGCGAGCGUUAAUCGGAAUUACUGGGCGUAAAGCGCGCGUAGGUGGCUUGAUAAGCCGGUUGUGAAAGCCCCGGGCUCAACCUGGGAACGGCAUCCGGAACUGUCAAGCUAGAGUGCAGGAGAGGAAGGUAGAAUUCCCGGUGUAGCGGUGAAAUGCGUAGAGAUCGGGAGGAAUACCAGUGGCGAAGGCGGCCUUCUGGACUGACACUGACACUGAGGUGCGAAAGCGUGGGUAGCAAACAGGAUUAGAUACCCCGGUAGUC